UACAGAGGUCUCAAGCGUUGUUCGGAUUCAUUGGGCGUAAAGGGUGUGUAGGUGGCGCCGUAAGUCGGGUGUGAAAUCUCGGGGCUUAACUCCGAAACUGCAUUCGAUACUGGCGUGCUUGAGGACUGGAGAGGAGACUGGAAUUUACGGUGUAGCAGUGAAAUGCGUAGAUAUCGUAAGGAAGACCAGUGGCGAAGGCGGGUCUCUGGACAGUUCCUGACACUGAGACACGAAGGCCAGGGGAGCAAACGGG
rnacentral:rRNA from 1 species